ensembl:lncRNA
GCCGAGUUCAACCACCCAAAAAGUGCUUGGGAAGGAUGGGUAAUCAACUGCAAGUAGUUUUGGUGAUACAAGUACAGAAAUCUUUAAUGGAUUCAAACCCCCCCCCCCCCCCCAAGAAUGUGCAGAAUGCAUUUCACUGUUGUGGCAUUGGGGCAAUAUAAGGCAGGUGAGGGGCUAACGAACGAGAGGGAUCCUGUAGAAUUGGGGUGAAAAAACACUGCUAUCUAAAGUGAUCUAAAGUAAAAUUUAAUUGGAGUAGAAAUCACUGCUCUUGCAAAAUUGGAAGAAAAUAUAUAUGAAUAUUAGUCAGGGCACUGCGAGAGUGCUGCGCAAAAUCACUGCUGUGAGAAAUGGAAGUUAGCAUGACACAUUGUAAGUCAAGUCACCUUUAUUAAUAUAGCGCUUUUAACUAUACAGAUUGUGUCAAAGCAACUGAACAACAUUAAUUAGGAAAAUAAUUUGCCAAUAAUGCAUAAUGACAAUAGUAAACACUCAUUUUUCAGUUAAAGGCAGUUUAUCAUUGAAUUCAGUGAUGUCAUCAUCCAGCUCAGUUCAGUUUAAAUAGUAUCUUUGCAAUCAUUUGCUUGGUCAUCGAUAUUGCUGGAAAUGAAGAGUCCCCUACUAAGCAAGCCAGAGGCGACAGCAGCAAGGAACCAAAACUCCAUCGGUGACAGAAUGGAGAAAAAACCUUGGGAGAAACCAGGCUCAGUCGGGGGGGAUGUUCUCCUCUGGCCAGACGGAACCAGCAGUUCAAUUCCAGGCUGCAGCAAAUUCACAUUGUGCAGAGGACUCAACUGGUUCCUGUGGUCUUGUCCUGGUGGUCGUCUAAAACAAGGUCUUUACAGGGGAUCUGUAUCUGGGGCUCAUCUAGCUGUCCUGAUCUCUGCUGUCUUUCAGGGCUGUAGAGGUCCUCUCUAGGUGCUGAUCCUCCAUCUGGUCUGGAUACAGACUGGAUCUGGUGACUACGGUGACCUUGGAAUAAGACAGAAACAGACUAAUAUUAGCAUAGAUGCCAUUCUUCUAACAAUGUAGCAAGUACUUCAGGUGUUAGGGGAAGUGUUCCUGGUUCCGGUUGACCUAAUUAAUGCAGCCUAAAAAUCCUUUAACGGAUUUGAAUAUUAGAAGUGUAUUAGUGUGUUAUGUGUAACCCAGGUUAAAGAGAUUCUAUAGAAUCUGUAAGAAUCUAUAGUCUGCCCCGUCCCAGAUUCCACUCCACAAUAAAUGUUUAAUCAGGCUCA